UCCCAACUAUCCCUAUUAAUCAUUACGGUGAUUCAGAAACCAACAAAACAGGACCACCGUCCUAUUCUAUUAUUCCAUGCUAAUGUAUUCAGACGUAAGCCUGCUUUGAACACUCUAAUUUUUUCAAGGUAAAGGUCCUGGUUUCCCACCACGCUAAAUUAAUAACAUGAUGGUUCCCCAGAAGGUAGGAAUUCUACACGCUAGUACAGACUGGUUAGCCCGACCAACGGUAGAACCCCGAAAUUCAACUA
rnacentral:rRNA from 1 species